rnacentral:lncRNA from 1 species
CCCCCGGGCCUCGGCUCGGGUGUCACCGGGGCCUCGGCACAGCGGGGGCCGCGCCCGGGUCCCCUCAGCCCUCGGGGAGCGGCUCCCUGUUGGCGGUGGGAGAUGGCGGCGGGGGAGGCAGGGACGGUGAUGGCGCCAGCGCUGCCCUCCCCCCACCCCCCGCGCGAGGUUUGGUUAAAAUGGGGGGGGAGGCGGCGGGUGUCCUUCCCUGUGGGGAAAGGGAGGAAGUCGGGGUUAUUCGGGAGCCCGGAGGGGCCCCCUGCACCUCUAACCUCUUCCCUUUCUCCCCACUUCCCCCGAAGACCCCGAUUCCUCCRCGCGGGCCGAGGAGACGGCGCCAGGAUGCAGCGUGGGGGGGGCUCGAUCCUGCCGGAGCCGCCGGGGCGACGCGGUUCCUCGCUCCGGGGCGCCGACGCUGGCUGGGCCCACGGAGCCCUGAGGAUGGCGGUCGGCGCAUGGAAGACGGCGAAGGAAAGCAGCUCCGCGGGGGAGCUGGCGUCCCAGCCGCCUCGGGGGCGUCCGGCUCCCAAAUUAAGCCGGAAACCUUAAAUCCCUGGGGCAGGCUCAGUCCCGGCACGGGCAGCCUCCCUCCGCGAGCAACUGCGAUCCCUCUGUCCCCAAAUUACUCUUAUUCAGCACCUGUAACCUGCCGGCGCCUCCGGGCCACGGUGACACACACACACACGCGCACGUGUGUGUCGAGCUUUGCCGGAGGCAGGAACCGUCUGCCGCUGCCCUGAUGGAUGGAGCGAGACUCGUUAUCCCUGGGCGCGCGCGGCGGCGGCGCGGAACGAGGUCGCUGGCGGCGGCACCGUGUCCUGCCUGUCACCUCGUGCUUUUAUGGCCGCGGCGAAGGGAGCUCAGAGCCGAGCGGCGGCGGCGGUGGCACCUCGUCCCCGACCACCCCGGGGACAGGAAACGGGGUCGGUGCUUCUGUGGCGGCGUUUUGUGGAGCGCGAGGGGCCUCGUUAGCGUGUUAACGAAGGGCAGCGGGUGCCACUGCCGCCGCUCGACCGUGUCUGCUCCUGUGAGUCAGGGCGUU